CUCCGGGACGCGGUGGUGUGUAGACCGCUGCUGGAUCUCUCCGGCGCAUGCUCUCGUUCCUCGAUCCAGGUCUCUACUGAGACCUUCCGACCUUUGUGUUUAAAUAUAUAAACUGAUUUGGGGGUCUUUGAUGACCUCGCGCAUGACAAAGACCUGAGAAAUACUUUUUUUAAUUGUGAAACCAAAAUUAAAUAAUUUUCUUGCAAACUUGUUCGAGAAGUCUGUGGCAUGCAAGUGAAUCAUUAAGACAUUUCACAAGUGACUUAACAAUUUGACGGUGAAAAUAAGUGACAUACUGAUGCUAUUCCGAGCAAAUCAUCCUGUCAUCUAACUGUAUCAUAAUUCAUAUGGUAUUUAAUUCCUCCUGAAGGUUUUACAUUCUAAAACGAGAUAAAUCUUAAUAAUUUAUCCUUGUGUAUCACCUAUAAACAUAUACAAUUAUAGAACCGAACAAAAAUAGACAAUAUUGAAGUGAAAAUCCCUCGAGUUGCCAUUUUUUUAUUCUGAGAUAAUCCUUCUCUUAUCCCCCCAGAGGUGAAAUAAUCCUCCUCUUAUCCUCCAGAGGUGAAAUAAUCCUCCUCUUAUCCCCCAGAGGUGAAAUAAUCCUCCUCUUAUCCUCCAGAGGUG